rnacentral:sRNA from 1 species
UAUUUCUCCGUACGGGGAAGGAUGAGAAGCUUCGACUAAGGUUCGAUUCGAGCGCAGCGAGAAAGCGUUGCCGCAGGCAACGACCCGAAGGGUGAGGAGCGG